rnacentral:rRNA from 1 species
UACGUAGGUGGCAAGCGUUGUCCGGAUUUACUGGGCGUAAAGGGCUCGUAGGCGGCCAACUAAGUCGGAUGUGAAAUCCCCAGGCUUAACCUGGGAACUGCAUCCGAUACUGGAUGGCUUGAAUCCGGGAGAGGGAUGCAGAAUUCCAGGUGUAGCGGUGAAAUGCGUAGAUAUCUGGAGGAAUACCGGUGGCGAAGGCGGCAUCCUGGACCGGCAUUGACGCUGAUGAGCGAAAGCUAGGGGAGCAAACGGG